CCUGGUUGAUCCUGCCAGUAGUCAUAUGCUUGUCUCAAAGAUUAAGUCAUGUAUGUGUAAGUAUGAACUAUUUCAGACUGUGAAAUUGCGAAUGGCUCAUUAAAUCAGUUAUAGUUUGUUUGAUGGUACGUGCUACUCGGAUAACCAUAGUAAUUCUAGAGCUAAUACGCAACAAACCCCACUUCCGAAGGGAUGCAUUUAUUAGAUAAAAGGCUGACGGGCUUUGCCCGCCGUCCGAUGAUUCAUGAUAACUCGACGGAUCGCGACGCCCUCGUGUCGGCGACGCAUCAUUCAAAUUUCUGCCCUAUCAACUUUCGAUGGUAGGAUAGGGGCCUACCAUGGUGGUGACGGGUGACGGAGAAUUAGGUUCGAUUCCGGAGAGGGAGCUCGAGAAACAAGCUACCACAUCCAAGGAAGGCAAAAAAAAGAAAUUACCCCCAAUCCCGACACGGGUGGUAGUGACAAUAAAUAACCAUACCGGGCUCUUCGAAGUCGGGUAAUUGAAUGAGUACAAUCUAAAUCCCUUUAACGAGGAUCCAUUGAGGGCAAGUCCGGUGCCGCAGCCGCGGUAAUUCCAGCCCAAUAGCGAUAUUUAAGUUGUUGCAGUUAAAAAGCUCAUAGUUGGACUUUGGGACUGGUCGGUCGGUCCGGCCAUGGGUGUGUAAUCGGUCGUCCCAUCCCUUCUGUUUCGGCGAUGCGCCUCGGCCUUAACUGGUCGGGUCGUGUUCUCCGGCGCUGUUACAUUUUGAAGAAAUUAGAGUGUUUCAAAGCAAGCCCACGCCUGGAUACAUUAGCAUGGGAUAACAUCACAGUGAUUUCGGUCCUAUUGUGUUGGCCUUCGGGAUCGGAGUAAUGAUUAAGAGGGACAGUCGGUGGCAUUCAGAUUUCAUAGUCGAGGUGAAAUUUUGGAUUUAUGAAAGACUAACCACCGCAAAAAAGCAUUUGCCAAGGAUGUUUUCAUUAAUCAAGAACGAAAGUUGGGGGCUCAAGAAGAUCAUCGACACCGCCCUAGUCUCAACCAUAAACGAUGCCGACCGUGGAUCGGUGGAUGUUGUUUUUAGGACUCACGGCACCUUAUGAGAAAUCAAAGUCUUUGGGUUCCGGGGAGUAUGGUCGCAAGGCUGAAACUUAAACGAAUUAACGGAAGGGCACCACCAGAGUGGAGCUCAUGGGCUUAAUUUGACUCAACACGGGAAACUUACCGUGUCCCAUACAUAGCAAGGAUUGACAGACUAAGAGCUUUUUCUUGAUUCUAUGGGUGGUGGUGCAUGGCCGUUCUUAGUUGGUGGACAUUUGUCCGGUUAAUUCGAUAACUAACGAGACCUCAAACCGCGAACUAGCUACCUGGAGGCAUUGAAACACCCUCAUUUCCUAAUUUUCAUAUAAAUUUCUGGGUGAUAAUGUAAGCAUUUAUUUUAAAUUGACAAAAGAAAUAGAGUAUGAAUCAGAGGUAACUUAUUUGUAAGAUUUGGGAGAUCUGUUCAAAAAAAAAAAAAAAAAAAGAAUCUGAGGACCUAUAUGUAAACCCUAAGGACUUAAUCGUGAAUAUGAUAAAACAAGGACUAAACUGCAAAACACACAAAAUGACAAAUUUCACUGUUUAGUUUCUCUGCCUUCGUUCUUAAGGAAGCAGGGAAGGCAGCUCGUGGGUGAUCAAAGAAAGAAAGAAAGAAAGAAAGAAAGAAGAAGAAGAAGAAGAAGAAGAAGAGAAAAAAAUUGGGGUUUUUAGGGUUCUUGCUUUAAUCUUUUCACUUCGGGUCAAA
rnacentral:rRNA from 1 species